rnacentral:rRNA from 1 species
UUCGUCCAAUUGAAGCAGAGGACAGUGGCGGACGGGUGAGUAACGCGUGAGGAACCUGCCUUUCAGAGGGGGACAACAGUUGGAAACGACUGCUAAUACCGCAUAACACAUAGGUGUCGCAUGGCACUUAUGCCAAAGAUUUAUCGCUUCAAGAUGGCCUCGCGUCUGAUUAGCUGGUUGGCGGGGUAACGGCCCACCAAGGCGACGAUCAGUAGCCGGACUGAGAGGUUGAACGGCCACAUUGGGACUGAGACACGGUCCAAACUCC